rnacentral:snoRNA from 1 species
UUUCAGAAAAAAAUCCAGAAGACUUUUCAAAUGAAUUAUUAAAACUGAUUGGAGUGGCUGCGGACGGCAGCAUCCUUGGUAGUGCAGUGGCCUGUUGCUUGUAUGGGUUGCCGUAAGGGACCUUGGAGACAGCC